GAUGAAGAACGUAGCGAAAUGUGAUAAGUAGUGUGAAUUGCAGAAUUCAGUGAAUCAUCGAAUCUUUGAACGCACAUUGCGCCCUUUGGUAUUCCUUAGGGCAUGCCUGUUCGAGCGUCAUCUAAACCUUCAAGCCCUGCUUGGUGUUGGGUGCCUGUCCCGCCUCUGCGCGUGGACUCACCUCAAAUCCAUUGGCGGCCCCCGCGUCGGCCACGAGCGCAGCAGAAACGCGAACUCGUGAGCCCGUCCGGGCGGCUCCCAGAAGCUAACCCCCAAUUUUUGACCUCGGAUCAGGCAGGGAUACCCGCUGAACUUAAGCAUAUCAAUAAGCGGAGGA
rnacentral:misc_RNA from 1 species